CCUACGGGAGGCAGCAGUGAGGAAUAUUGGUCAAUGGGCGGGAGCCUGAACCCGCCAAGUCGCGUGAGGGCAGACGGUCCUAUGGAUUGUAAACCUCUUUAGGCGGGGAGCAAUGCCGGGCACGUGUGCCCGGAGGGAGAGUACCCGCAGAAUAAGCAUCGGCUAACUCCGUGCCAGCAGCCGCGGUAAUACGGAGGAUGCGAGCGUUAUCCGGAUUUAUUGGGUUUAAAGGGUGCGUAGGCGGAUUGUUAAGUCAGCGGUAAAAUGUCCGGGCUCAACCCGGGCCGGCCGUUGAAACUGGGGAGCUUGAGUGGGCGAGAAGUAUGCGGAAUGCGUGGUGUAGCGGUGAAAUGCAUAGAUAGCACGCAGAACUCCGAUUGCGAAGGCAGCAUACCGGCGCCCGACUGACGCUGAGGCACGAAAGCGUGGGGAUCGAACAGGAUUAGAUACCCCAGUAGUC
rnacentral:rRNA from 1 species